CCUACGGGGGGCUGCAGUCGAGAAUCAUUCACAAUGGGGGAAACCCUGAUGGUGCGACGCCGCGUGGGGGAAUGAAGGUCUUCGGAUUGUAAACCCUUGUCAUGUGGGAGCAAAUUAAAAAGAUAGUACCACAAGAGGAAGAGACGGCUAACUCGGUGCCAGCAGCCGAGGUAAUCAAGAGGUCUCAAGCGUUGUUCGGAAUCACUGGGCGUAAAGCGUGCGUAGGCGGUUUCGUAAGUCGUGUGUGAACGGCGGGGGCUCAACCCGUGGACGGCACAUGAUACUGUGAGGCUAGAGUAAUGGAGGGGGAACCGGAAUGCUCGGUGUAGCAGUGAAAUGCGUAGAGAU
rnacentral:rRNA from 1 species